rnacentral:rRNA from 1 species
UAGUAUUAGAGGCAUGCCUGCCCAGUGACUGAGGUUAAACGGCCGCGGUAUUCUGACCGUGCAAAGGUAGCAUAAUCACUUGUUCCUUAAUUAGGGACUAGAAUGAACGGCUAAACGAGGGUUUAACUGUCUCUUAUUUUUCAUCCGUGAAACUGACCUUCCCGUGAAGAGGCGGGAAUAACAAAACUAGACGAGAAGACCCUAUGGAGCUUUAAUUUAUUAAUUUAAUUUCAACAAUCCACAAUCUAAUGAAAACAAAAUCUGAAAGCUAAAUUAAUGAUUUAGGUUGGGGUGACCUCGGAGAAUAAAACAACCUCCGAAAGAUUAUAAUCAAGGCUGACAAGUCAAAAUAAACACGCUUAUCACUAAUCGACCCAUUAAUUUUGAUCGACGGACCAAGUUACCCUAGGGAUAACAGCGCAAUCCUAUUUAAGAGUUCCUAUCGAAAAUAGGGUUUACGACCUCGAUGUUGGAUCAGGAUAUCCCAAUGGUGCAGCAGCUAUUAAUGGUUCGUUUGUUCAACGAUUAAAAUCCUACGUGAUCUG